AAUAGUUAAAUUUGGUUAAAUUUUAGUAUCUUUCAUAGUUUUUAAAAUAAAAAUAUAAAAUCAUGAGAUUUCAAUUUUCUCAAUAAUCUCAUCCAUGCACAAAAUCGACGUCUUUUAGUGAUGUUAAAAAUGACAAUAUUUCAAUAAAUAAAUAAAAAGAUGAAUGAAUAAAGAAAAAAGAAAAAAAACUUAUUUUUUAUGAAACAUGUUGUUUUGAACAUCAUUAAAAGAUGUCAUUUUGUGCAUGGAUCAGUAGUAGACCCAGUGUAAUACCCGUUUUUUUUCUCUAUCUUUUUAAGUUAAGAUUUUUAUUUUGGGAACGAGCGUGUGAUAGACUUUGACUAAAAUACCAUCCUUGUUAUGUUUGGUUGAUUUUGGAAAUAUUAAAUGGUCGAAUCGUUGUUGGUUAAUCGUGUGGUGAAAGUAGUCGGCGAGAUUGAAAAAUAAAAUACCACAAUUUAAUUAAUACUCUAAAUCAAAUAUUUGGGCCUAUCAUUUUAUCUCUAUUGCUCUAGCCUUUAUUUCUUUGUAGUGGACCAAUUUUUGAGAAGCCCAAAUAAUAAAUAAUUAUUCUACUCCUCCUGCAGUCAAAUUUUAGUCAAAUAAAUUUCUCCCAAUCCCACUACUGUUCGGUUUUCUCCAUAUCUCCUUCCCUCCUAAAAUCUCUCCAACCAAAUAACCCCUUUUGACGCCACAUACGUAUAUACAUAUAUCUUCCCUUUAAUCUCAACAAAUUACCGUCUUCCGUUCUGCAAUUCUCCUCCUCCUCCGUUAAGUGUAAAGGAGAAACUGGGAGAGUUGUUAUUACCUUCUGUUGUGCAAAUUUUUUCUUCUUCUUCCCAAAGGGUGAGCUUGUGCACGUUGUUUGCGGUGGGAACAGAAAGUGAUUAAGGAGUUAAGCUGUUAAGAUUGAGCGGCGAUGGACGUGGAGGAUGUUGAGCAGAGUCCAUGGAUUAUUUUGUCAUGGUUAAUAAUUGUUGGUUUUGUCGUGUCUUCAUACUCGGUAUUUUCCGUGUCUUGAACGCUUCCGCUAAGAGUCCUUUUCUUUAGAAUUGUUUAUUCGUGGAGAGUCUAACUCGUUUGAAAAUUGUUUAUUGUCCAUUCUUUAUUUA